CAGAAAGUCACGGCUAAUUACGUGCCAGCAGCCGCGGUAAUACGUAGGUGGCAAGCGUUAUCCGGAUUUAUUGGGCGUAAAGAGAGUCCAGGCGGUUUUCUAAGUCUGAUGUGAAAGCCUUCGGCUUAACCGGAGAAGUGCAUCGGAAACUGGAUAACUUGAGUGCAGAAGAGGGUAGUGGAACUCCAUGUGUAGCGGUGGAAUGCGUAGAUAUAUGGAAGAACACCAGUGGCGAAGGCGGCUACCUGGUCUGCAACUGACGCUGAGACUCGAAAGCAUGGGUAGCGAACAGGAUUAGAUACCCUGGUAGUCCAUGCCGUAAACGAUGAGUGCUAGGUGUUGGAGGGUUUCCGCCCUUCAGUGCCGGAGCUAACGCAUUAAGCACUCCGCCUGGGGAGUACGACCGCAAGGUUGAAACUCAAAGGAAUUGACGGGGGCCCGCACAAGCGGUGGAGCAUGUGGUUUAAUUCGAAGCUACGCGAAGAACCUUACCAGGUCUUGACAUCUUGCGCCAACCCUAGAGAUAGGGCGUUUCCUUCGGGAACGCAAUGACAGGUGGUGCAUGGUCGUCGUCAGCUCGUGUCGUGAGAUGUUGGGUUAAGUCCCGCAACGAGCGCAACCCUUGUUACUAGUUGCCAGCAUUAAGUUGGGCACUCUAGUGAGACUGCCGGUGACAAACCGGAGGAAGGUGGGGACGACGUCAGAUCAUCAUGCCCCUUAUGACCUGGGCUACACACGUGCUACAAUGGACGGUACAACGAGUCGCGAACUCGCGAGGGCAAGCAAAUCUCUUAAAACCGUUCUCAGUUCGGACUGCAGGCUGCAACUCGCCUGCACGAAGUCGGAAUCGCUAGUAAUCGCGGAUCAGCAUGCCGCGGUGAAUACGUUCCCGGGCCUUGUACACACCGCCCGUCACACCAUGAGAGUUUGU
rnacentral:rRNA from 2 species